AGAGCUUCGAGCAUCAAUAAUGCAAGACGUGAUCUUCAUCUGGUGGCUGUGGCUUGAUCUCCAGCUCGUCUCAAUCCCGGCAGAGGGGAGUGGUCCUUCUUCCACUGUAAAGGGAUGGUCUCAAGUCUACAGUCUAUACUAAUAUCAAGUAUACAAAACUUAAAACAAGGACUUCGUUGAGUUCACUGCCACCAGCCCCCCCCAACUCUCCCUCAUGCUCCUCCACCCCAGGCACCUCUUCCACCACCCUAGACACCCCUUCCAAGAGGAGAGUGCCAAGGAGCAGGCGAGGCAUGAGGAGAGCGAGGCAAAGUUGGC
ensembl:lncRNA